CGUAAAGAACCUGCCUCAUAGACUGGGACAACUAUUGGAAACGAUAGCUAAUACCGGAUAACAGCAUUAACUGCAUGGUUGAUGUUUGAAAGUUGGUUAUGCUAACACUAUGAGAUGGCUUUGCGGUGCAUUAGCUAGUUGGUGGGGUAAAGGCCCACCAAGGCGACGAUACAUAGCCGACCUGAGAGGGUGAUCGGCCACACUGGGACUGAGACACGGCCCAG
rnacentral:rRNA from 1 species